GGAACUUAGUGAACAAUAACAUUUCUAAACUCUCAUCUCCCUUUUGUAGGAAAAAGUGACCCAAGGGAGACUGUCAGUAGAAAGACCUAAUACCCAAGACGCCCCAACCUGGACAAAGUUCACUGACUUAUUCUGAGCAAUUCAGGGUUUGAUUGCCACUUUGGGCCACAACAUUGCUCAUAACGCUAGUCGCCAUUAUCCCGCGAAUGAUCACCAUCACCCUAAUUGUGUCAUUUCUCACAACAUCUCAUAAUUUCUAAAGCUGAACUCUCCUUAUUUUGAUGAUGAACCAGAUCCCAU
rnacentral:lncRNA from 1 species